AUUAUGAGAGUUUGAUCCUGGCUCAGGACGAACGCUGGCGGCGUGCCUAAUACAUGCAAGUCGAACGCUUCUUUCCUCCCGAGUGCUUGCACUCGAUUGGAAAGAGGAGUGGCGGACGGGUGAGUAACACGUGGGUAACCUACCCAUCAGAGGGGGAUAACACUUGGAAACAGGUGCUAAUACCGCAUAACAGUUUAUGCCGCAUGGCAUAAGAGUGAAAGGCGCUUUCGGGUGUCGCUGAUGGAUGGACCCGCGGUGCAUUAGCUAGUUGGUGAGGUAACGGCUCACCAAGGCCACGAUGCAUAGCCGACCUGAGAGGGUGAUCGGCCACACUGGGACUGAGACACGGCCCAGACUCCUACGGGAGGCAGCAGUAGGGAAUCUUCGGCAAUGGACGAAAGUCUGACCGAGCAACGCCGCGUGAGUGAAGAAGGUUUUCGGAUCGUAAAACUCUGUUGUUAGAGAAGAACAAGGACGUUAGUAACUGAACGUCCCCUGACGGUAUCUAACCAGAAAGCCACGGCUAACUACGUGCCAGCAGCCGCGGUAAUACGUAGGUGGCAAGCGUUGUCCGGAUUUAUUGGGCGUAAAGCGAGCGCAGGCGGUUUCUUAAGUCUGAUGUGAAAGCCCCCGGCUCAACCGGGGAGGGUCAUUGGAAACUGGGAGACUUGAGUGCAGAAGAGGAGAGUGGAAUUCCAUGUGUAGCGGUGAAAUGCGUAGAUAUAUGGAGGAACACCAGUGG
rnacentral:rRNA from 1 species